rnacentral:rRNA from 1 species
GCGGGAAGAGCUCAAAUUUAUAAUCUGGCACCUUCGGUGUCCGAGUUGUAAUCUCUAGAAGUGUUUUCCGCGUUGGACCGCACACAAGUCUGUUGGAAUACAGCGGCAUAGUGGUGAGACCCCCGUAUAUGGUGCGGACGCCCAACGCUUUGUGAUACACUUUCGAAGAGUCGAGUUGUUUGGGAAUGCAGCUCAAAUUGGGUGGUAAAUUCCAUCUAAAGCUAAAUAUUGGCGAGAGACCGAUAGCGAACAAGUACCGUGAGGGAAAGAUGAAAAGCACUUUGGAAAGAGAGUUAACAGUACGUGAAAUUGUUGGAAGGGAAACGCUUGAAGUCAGACUUGCUUGCCGAGCAAUCGGUUUGCAGGCCAGCAUCAGUUUUCUGGGGUGGAUAAUGGUAGAGAGAAGGUAGCAGUUUCGGCUGUGUUAUAGCUCUUUGCUGGAUACACCUUGGGGGACUGAGGAACGCAGUGUGCCUUACGGCGGAUUUCUCGAGAUCUACACACUUAGGAUGCUGGUGGAAUGGCU